rnacentral:rRNA from 1 species
AUUGAACGCUGGCGGCACGCUUUACACAUGCAAGUCGAACGGUAACAGGGUGCUUGCACCGCUGACGAGUGGCGUACGGGUGAGUAAUACAUCGGAAUGUACCCAGUAAUGGGGGAUAACGCUUCGAAAGGAGUGCUAAUACCGCAUACGCCCUGAGGGGGAAAGUGGGGGACCGCAAGGCCUCACGUUAUUGGAGCAGCCGAUGGCUGAUUAGCUAGUUGGUGAGGUAAAGGCUCACCAAGGCGACGAUCAGUAGCGGGUCUUAGAGGACGAUCCGCCACACUGGAACUGAGACACGGUCCAGACUCCUACGGGAGGCAGCAGUGGGGAAUCUUGGACAAUGGGCGAAAGCCUGAUCCAGCAAUGCCGCGUGCGUGAAGAAGGCCUUCGGGUUGUAAAGCGCUUUUGUCUGGGAGCAAAUCCUGGCCCCUAAUACAGGUCGGGGAUGAGAGUACCAGAAGAAUAAGGACCGGCUAACUACGUGCCAGCCGCCGCAGUAA